UGGGGAAUCUUGCACAAUGGGGGCAACCCUGAUGCAGCGACGCCGCGUGAGCGAUGAAGCCCUUCGGGGUGUAAAGCUCUUUCGACGGGAACGAUAAUGACGGUACCCGGAGAAGAAGCUGCGGCUAACUACGUGCCAGCAGCCGCGGUAAUACGUAGGCAGCAAGCGUUGUUCGGAGUUACUGGGCGUAAAGAGUGCGUAGGCGGUUCCGUAAGUUUGAUGUGAAAUCUCCCGGCUUAACUGGGAGGGUGCGUCGAAAACUGCGGGGCUGGAGUAUGGGAGAGGUAGGCGGAAUUCCUGGUGUAGCGGUGAAAUGCGUAGAUAUCAGGAGGAACACCGGUGGUGUAGACGGCUUACUGGACCAUGACUGACGCUGAGGCACGAAAGCGUGGGGAGCAAACAGGAUUAGAUACCCGCGUAGUCC
rnacentral:rRNA from 1 species